ACUGCUGAUUUGUCGGUGGUCUCAGCAACCUUGUAAGGUGACGGUGAGGCGCGAGCCUUCUGUACAUGGCGGCGGCUGGACUGCUGGUGAUAAUUAGUCUCUGUAGUAGCGCUGCUCUGACUGGGCGCACAUGUUCCAGCUGUCACAGGUGUAUUCUGGGAGAUGCGGUUCGGUGACAACCGUGACAGCGCCAUCUGGACCUGUCGGCGAUGUGGGACGUUGACUCCGUUGUGACAAGUAGCGAGUGGUGCUGCAGAGUUUAGUAGAUUGGGAUUCUCGGACAUCAUUUUGAAUCAGUGAGCCUGAUCAACUCAAGACUGAAAUCUCAUUCAAAUGUCUAGGCUGAGUUGUAGAGAGUACCGAAGCCACGUUUUUAUUUCAAAAUCCAACAGAGGCAAAUAGCAGUGGGAUAAAGGAAAGAAGCAAGGACAAGAUGCAGUGUAGGAAGGUGGAACAUGA